AACGAACGCUGGCGGCAUGCCUAACACAUGCAAGUCGAAAGAGACCUUCGGGUCUAGUGGCGCACGGGUGCGUAACGCGUGGGAACCUGCCCUUAGGUUCGGAAUAACUCCCCGAAAGGGGUGCUAAUACCGGAUAAUGUCUUCGGACCAAAGAUUUAUCGCCUUUGGAUGGGCCCGAGUUGGAUUAGCUAGUUGGUAGGGUAAAAGCCUACCAAGGCGACGAUCCAUAGCUGGUCUGAGAGGAUGAUCAGCCACACUGGGACUGAGACACGGCCCAGACUCCUACGGGAGGCAGCAGUGGGGAAUAUUGGACAAUGGGCGAAAGCCUGAUCCAGCAAUGCCGCGUGAGUGAUGAAGGCCUUAGGGUUGUAAAGCUCUUUUACCCGGGAUGAUAAUGACAGUACCGGGAGAAUAAGCUCCGGCUAACUCCGUG
rnacentral:rRNA from 1 species